GACGAACGCUGGCGGCGUGCUUAACACAUGCAAGUCGAGCGGUAAGGCCCUUCGGGUACGACGAGCGGCGAACGGGUGAGUAACACGUGGGUGACCUGCCUCUAGCUCUGGGAUAAGCCUGGGAAACUGGGUCGUAAUACCGGAUAUGACUCCACGGCGCAUGUUGUGGGGUGGAAAGCCUUGUGUGGCUAGAGAUGGGCCCGCGGCCUAUCAGCUUGUUGGUGGGGUGAUGGCCUACCAAGGCGACGACGGGUAGCCGGCC
rnacentral:rRNA from 1 species